rnacentral:rRNA from 1 species
GUCUACGGCCAUAGCACCCUGACCAUGCCCGAUCUUGUCUGAUCUCAGAAGCUAAGCAGGGUCAAGCCUGGUUAGUACUUGGAUGGGAGAGAGAAGGAAAGAGGCAGGUAGAGA